rnacentral:rRNA from 1 species
GACGUAGGGGUGCGAGCGUUUGUCCGGAUUUAUUGGGCGUAAAGAGCUCGUAGGCGGCUUGUCGCGUCGACCGUGAAAACUUGGGGCUCAACCCCAAGCCUGCGGUCGAUACGGGCAGGCUAGAGUUCGGUAGGGGGAGACUGGAAUUCCUGGUGUAGCGGUGAAAUGCGCAGAUAUCAGGAGGAACACCGGUGGCGAAGGCGGGUCUCUGGGCCGAUACUGACGCUGAGGAGCGAAAGCGUGGGGAGCGAACAGG